GGAGAGAACUCGAUGAACGUUAUAGUGUUGGGUUUACGUGCGAGUAUCAGCCAAGUUGUGGAAGAAGAGAGAGAAGCUUUUAAAAGCAUUCCUUCCUCAGCAGCACGUAAGAUGACACUGACUAUAAUGCAUGCCGUGAAUUAUUGGAUCUAUCUGAAUGUAGUGCGGACGACGAAAAAUGCUGCUAAAUUAUUUUAUGUUUCUUUUCUUCGGGAACGGUGAUAAUAUUGUAGUUGUAUUAUUUAAUGUAAGAAGUAGCUGAGCAAAUGUCUUACGGCUUUUUUGUUGUUUCAUGGAUGGAAAAUGGGCAUUACCAAGGGUUUUACAUUCUUUCUCUCCAAGAUCAAUCGAUUUUUUAUCUUUAGUAAAUUUUCCAAAUCAUG